AUUGAACGCUGGCGGCAGGCCUAACACAUGCAAGUCGAACGAGUGGCGGACGGGUGUGUAAUGUCUGGGACACUGCGUUAUGGAGGGGUACCACUAUUGGAAGCUGUAGCAUAUACCGCAUUCCAUCGUAUGUGCCCAUAUGGGAUUCGCUAGUAGGUGGGGUAACGGCUCACCUAGGCGACGAUCCCUAGCUGGUCUGAGAGGAUGACCAGCCACACUGGAACGGAGACACGGUCCAGACUCCUACGGGAGGCAGCAGUGGGGAAUAUUGCACAAUGGGCGCAAGCCUGAUGCAGCCAUGCCGCGUGUAUGAAGAAGGCCUUCGGGUUGUAAAGUACUUUCAGCAGGGAGGCGUUACCCGCAGAAGAAGCACCGGCUAACUCCGUGCCAGCCGCCGCGGUAAUUC
rnacentral:rRNA from 1 species